CCCUUAGAUGUUCUGGGCCGCACGCGCGCUACACUGAUGCAUUCAACGAGCCUAUCCUUGACCGACAGGUCCGGGUAAUCUUUGAAUCUGCAUCGUGACGGGGAUAGAUUAUUGCAAUUAUUAAUCUUCAACGAGGAAUGCCUAGUAGGCGCAAGUCAGCAGCUUGCGUCGAUUACGUCCCUGCCCUUUGUACACACCGCCCGUCGCUCCUACCGAUUGGGUGUGCUGGUGAAAUGUUCGGAUCGGCCGUUUGUCGCGGUUUCCGCGUCAUGUGGCUGAGAAGUUCAUUAACCCCUCCCACCUAGAGGAAGGAGAAGUCGUAACA
rnacentral:rRNA from 1 species